rnacentral:lncRNA from 1 species
UGGAAAUUGAGAUAUUUUGAAUGACUCAGAAAUUGGGUUGAUGUGAUCAAUCCGAUGAAAUUGGAACCGCCGUUGCUAUCUGCUAUAGUGAUAUCCUCAUAGUGUUUCGGUAGAAGACGUUCUACGCUAACUCAUUUUUGCAGGGUAUGAUGUGAAUGGUAUGACCUCAAUGUCAUGUGAUAAUCUGUGUGUAACAUUUGGCAGCCUGCGUUGCUACAAGUUAACACAACCGGGUUGAGGUCGUCCCAUUAUUGUAUAACGACCUGCGUGUCAUCUUGUGAUGCUUGAUCCCUCAUGUAAAUUACUUAUCAGCUAUUAGAUGUAGUAGCUUUACAUAUUUUCAUGGAGGCCUUUCAAGCAUGGUGGCGAUGGUGAUCACCACAACGGCAGGAAGGAUGUGUCAGGGACAGAUCCUCGGUACACGUAAGGAAGGAAAAAGGCGGACUCCUACUAGAAUUCCUUUGUAAUCCUACCAGGACUCAUACCAUGUAAUCCUAAUAGGACUCCUACCUUAUAACCGACUAGUAAUCCUGCCCCCUGGAGUAUAUAAAAGAGGGUAGGGGUCCCUAGAUUGGUAGACAAAGACCUCAUAGAACCACCAAUAGGACCAAAUCCUCAACACCAAACAACACCGAAGCGCAGGGCGCAAUAUACAACAUCCUAAACAAGAUGUAGGGUAUUACGCUACUCUGGUGGCCUAAACUUAUAUAAAUUUGUGUCCUAUGUCCUCACUUUUACCAUCAAGUUUCAGGUCCAACGAUCCCCC